ACAAAAUCCAUCAAUAAUCCUGUCUAGCUUGCUCUUGUUAAAACAAAAAUCCAGCUGAAUAGUAGGAUAGGCAAAUUCUUUCUAUUCUCCUGAUAAAACUAGAAGCUCAGAAGGGUGGAUCAUUGCUUCCUUGCUAUUCUCAUGAUAAAACUAGAAACUGGGGGAGUGGGAUCACCACUUCUGUCUUGCUAAUAGACAGGUUCUGGGGAGAAGCAAGCAUCUUGUCCACUCUUACAAGGACUCCCCAUUAGUCCUUACAUCAGCACCUCCUGCCUUAGAACCUCUUUAUAAACCCCAAUCACCCUCCUCCAACAGCAUGGUAGUCCUAAUGAAGGCAUCCUGCCUUCCCCUAAUCUUGUGAGUAAUAUUUGCAGAAGAGUUUUGGAAGCCUACUGAAAAAAAGGAGAUGAUUUGGAAGGGCAGGCUUUUGACCCAGCUGACAGAGAACCCUCCCCCAACUGAGGUAGAAAGCACCUCCCACCUGCACCCCGGACUCCCCUGACUAGUGGGACUUCCCUCAGAACAAAGCCUGAAAAUCUGCAUAAUUAUCAAUUGAAUAGACUCAUUGUUUUAUUUCAAGCCUGGUGCUCCAAUUACCCCUGUCCCUUUAAACAUCCUCUGUGCUGCGUGGUUUGGUAGAAAAAGGCUUCUUUGGAUUGGGAGGAUUUUCUUUCCCAAGACUGCAGCCGCCUUCUGGAAAUACACCCUUUCCUCUGGCCAGCACUCAGCUAUGGCGAAUUGAAGCGGCAGAGACACAAACAGAUACAGUGCUUUCAUGUGCUGAUUCCUCCAAGGCUCACAACUGAGUCUGGGCUAAAUCAAAACCAGGAGCUCUGGGGCAGGGAUUGUGCUGCAUCAGUUUAAGCUGCUGAUUGGGAGGCUCACAUCAAAUACCACGUAUGGGAAUGGGUAUGUAAGAUCCUCUCACAAGAAACAACACUGAAGAU
rnacentral:lncRNA from 1 species